GACGAACGCUGGCGGCGUGCUUAACACAUGCAAGUCGAACGGCAGGGCCCUGCUUUUGUGGGGUGCUCGAGUGGCGAACGGGUGCGUGACACGUGAGUAACCUGCCCUUGACUUUGGGAUAACUUCAGGAAGCUGGGGCUACUACCGGAUCGGAGCUCCUGCUGCAUGGUGGGGGUUGGAUAGUUUCGGCGGUUGGGGAUGGAUUCGCGGGUUAUCAGCUUGUUGGUGGGGUAGUGGCUUACCAAGGCUUUGACGGGUAGCCGGCCUGAGAGGGUGAACGGCGACAGUGGGACUGAGAUACGGACCAGACGCGUACGUGAGGCAGUAGGGGGGAAUAUUGCACAAUGGGCGGAAGCCUGAUGCAGCAACGCCGCGGGCGGGAUGACGGCCUGCGGGGUGUAAACCGCUGCCGCCUGUGACGAAGCUGGAGUGACGGUAAUGGGUAAAGAAGCACCGGCUAACUACGUG
rnacentral:rRNA from 1 species